rnacentral:rRNA from 1 species
AUUGAACGCUGGCGGCAUGCUUUACACAUGCAAGUCGAACGGUAACAGGGAGCUUGCUCCGCUGACGAGUGGCGAACGGGUGAGUAAUGCGUCGGAACGUGCCGAGUAGUGGGGGAUAACGCAUCGAAAGGUGUGCUAAUACCGCAUACGUACUGAGGUAGAAAGUGGGGGACCUUCGGGCCUCACGCUAUUCGAGCGGCCGACGUCUGAUUAGCUAGUGGGUGAGGUAAAGGCUCACCAAGGCGACGAUCAGUAGCGGGUCUGAGAGGAUGAUCCGCCACACUGGGACUGAGACACGGCCCAGACUCCUACGGGAGGCAGAAGUGGGGAAUUUUGGACAAUGGGCGCAAGCCUGAUCCAGCCAUGCCGCGUGUCUGAAGAAGGCCUUCGGGUUGUAAAGGACUUUUGUCCGGGAGCAAAUGCUGGUGGCUAACAUCCACCGGAGCUGAGAGUACCGGAAGAAUAAGCACCGGCUAACUACGUGCCAGCAGCCGCCGUAAUAC